rnacentral:misc_RNA from 1 species
AUGACGGUUCGUCAUCUACGGCAAUUACAACGACAACAGUUUUCUGCAUUAAAUGCCACGGAUCCUGUUGUGAUUAAUAAAUAUCGACUUGGCUUUAACGAGUGUGCUAGUGAAGUUAGCAAAUACCUAUCCAAUACAGACGGAUUAAAUGCAGAAUUUCGAGCCCGACUUUUAAAUCAUCUGGCAAAUGUAACCAUGAAUGUAGAACCGGAAGAAAACAAGGAUUUGUCACCAAAGUCUUCUACCAUGAACAGAACUAAUUACAAUGCUCCUUACCCUAUAAAAACAAACAAUUUAAACGUCGUUCAUUCCAACACCGGAAGUCCUUUAAAGGUGAAAGGGAAUCCUGUUCAAAUCUCAAAUAGUAUAGCAACAGAUGGUUUACAAAAUUUUGAGAAAAAUAACAAUACACAGAAACUAGAAAAUGUGGUCUGUACUGAACAAAAUGUUACUUCAAAAGUAAUCCAUGGUGUUCACACUUUCCCAACACAGAUGUCUUCUGGAGAAGUUGCAUUCAUUAUUCCUGCAGCCAAUAUGUUGCAGUACGGAGCAAUACCAAAUUACGUCAUCCCUGUAAUACAGCCCCAGGGCGCCAUUCAGAUCGCCACCUCGUCCAGUAACAUCAUUCAAGCUCAGCAGACAAUGCCGAUCGCAUACUCAGGGACUACAUCUACGCCUCACAGCAUCGUUUCUUCUGUGGUUCCAAAUACAAGCUUCAUAACAUCCACAAACAACACUAUGAACCUACCUGUUAGUUUAGUAUCGUCUGAAAAUGGAGCUUUUGUGGUACAACAUCGCGAGCAAUCUCCCCAAUUCACGUCACUUCCUGUUACAACUAAUCAUACGCAAGUCACUCACGUGCAGAAUAUUGACUUGUCUUCAAACAAUAAUAACAAAGUGAAUGAAGGGGAAUCACCAUUUAGAUCCCGUGGAAUAGUGCCUUCUAUCGAACUUCGGAACCCACCACGAGAACUAGACAAAUCAGACCCAAUGUGGAGACCAUGGUGAACUCACUAAAGAGCCAGCGUUUCCUUAGCGCUACAUAUUAAAAUAUUUUUAAGACACUGUGGAAAUGUUUAUCAUGGAAUAGUUAUGAAGUUGUCUUAAAAAAUGGGAAAUGUAUAUGUUUACUUUUUUUCAAAGUUAACAUCUUACAACUUUAAAUGCUUUUAUAUUUAGUGCAAUGUGUUCAAUGAACUAUUACUAUGCAACACUGUGAUAUUUAUAUUAAAGUGCUUCGAUGUCAGUUUACAUUAUGGCUUUAUUGAGGAGAAUGCAUUUUUAAACUGAUGAAAUAAGUUUCAUCAUUCUAUUUGUCCUCCAAGAAAACGCAUUUAAUAAAGAGCCAGAUAU